GACGAACGCUGGCGGCGCGCCUAACACAUGCAAGUCGAACGGAGUGUUUUCACGGAAGUUUUCGGAUGGAAGUGGUUACACUUAGUGGCGGACGGGUGAGUAACACGUGAGCAACCUGCCUUUCAGAGGGGGAUAACAGUUGGAAACGACUGCUAAUACCGCAUAACGUUGAGGAGAGACAUCUCCCCGCAACCAAAGGAGCAAUCCGCUGAAAGAUGGGCUCGCGUCCGAUUAGCUGGAUGGCGGGGUAACGGCCCACCAUGGCGACGAUCGGUAGCCGGACUGAGAGGUUGAACGGCCACAUUGGGACUGAGACACGGCCCAGACUCCUACGGGAGGCAGCAGUGGGGGAUAUUGCACAAUGGGCGAAAGCCUGAUGCAGCGACGCCGCGUGAGGGAAGACGGUCUUCGGAUUGUAAACCUCUGUCUUAGGGGAAGAAAAUGACGGUACCCUAAGAGGAAGCUCCGGCUAACUACGUGCCAGCAGCCGCAGU
rnacentral:rRNA from 1 species